AUUGAACGCUGGCGGCAGGCCUAACACAUGCAAGUCGAACGAGUGGCGGACGGGUGAGUAAUGUCUGGGAAACUGCCUGAUGGAGGGGGAUAACUACUGGAAACGGUAGCUAAUACCGCAUACCAUCGGAUGUGCCCAGAUGGGAUUAGCUAGUAGGUGGGGUAAAGGCUCCCAGAGGCGACGCUCCCUAGCUGGUCUGAGAGGAUGACCGGCCAGACUGGAACUGAGACACGGUCCAGACUCCUACGGGAGGCAGCAGUGGGGAAUAUUGCACAAUGGGCGAAAGCCUGAUGCAGCCAUGCCGCGUGUAUGAAGAAGGACUUCGGGUUGUAAAGUACUUUCAGCGGGGAGGCGUUACCCGCAGAAGAAGCACCGGCUAACUCCGUGCCAGCAGCCGCGGUAAUAC
rnacentral:rRNA from 1 species